rnacentral:rRNA from 1 species
CCUACGGGAGGCAGCAGUCGAGAAUCAUUCACAAUGGGGGAAACCCUGAUGGUGCGACGCCGCGUGGGGGAAUGCAGGUCUUCGGAUUGUAAACCCCUGUCAUGUGGGAGCAAAUUAAAAAGAUAGUACCACAAGAGGAAGACACGGCUAACUCUGUGCCAGCAGCCGCGGUAAUACAGAGGUCUCAAGCGUUGUUCGGAAUCACUGGGCGUAACGCGUGCGUAGGCUGUUUCGUAAGUCGUGUGUGAAAUGUGCGGGCUCAACCCGGGGACUGCAGAUGAUACUGCGAGACUAGAGUAAUGGAGGGGGAACCGGAAUGUGCGGUGUAGCAGUGAAAUGCGUAGAUAUCGAGAGGAACACUCGUGGCGAAGGCGGGUUCCUAGACAUUAACUGACGCUGAGGCACGAAGGCCAGGGGAGCGAAAGGGAUUAGAUACCCCUGUAGUC